AUCCGGGAUGCGCCGAGCUCUGCCACUUCCCGGAGUCCGUACUUACUCCGAGGCAGAGACGGGGGACCCAGAGUCUCCGGGCCCAGGCAUUUAUGCCGGACCCUUGGGGUGAAGCCGCAGCGUGAUGCGCGGCCGGAUGACCUCAUCCGAACCCGACAGCUAACUCCGCAGGCGCUGAGAGGUAAUCA
rnacentral:sRNA from 2 species